rnacentral:rRNA from 1 species
UACGUAGGGCGCGAGCGUUGUUCCGGAAUUAUUGGGCGUAAAGAGCUCGUAGGUGGCUUGUUGCGUUCUGCCGUGAAAAGCCCGUGGCUUAACUACGGGUCUGCGGUGGAUACGGGCAGGCUAGAGGCUGGUAGGGGCAAGCGGAAUUCCUGGUGUAGCGGUGAAAUGCGCAGAUAUCAGGAGGAACACCGGUGGCGAAGGCGGGUCUCUGGGCCGAUACUGACGCUGAGGAGCGAAAGCGUGGGGAGCAAAACAGG